rnacentral:misc_RNA from 1 species
UAAAUUAUCAUUAAAUUUCAAAUCUGUUGAUAAUUACCUACGUAUUUUAAAUUCACUAGUAAAUUACCAACCGAUUAUAAAAUAGGUUGAUAAAUUAUCAACAGAUUUCAAAUCUGUUGAUAAUUAUAGUGUUUGAUUCUUUAUUAUCAUUUAUUUGAGAAUUAUAUAUCUCUUGAGUUUCAACUGAAGUUUUGGUAGGAAUUUCCAAGCAUGAGAUAAAAUAUUUCAUUUGAAAGUUAUUGGGUUUCAAUUUGCGGUGGAUAUGAAUUGGGAUUAUCAUAUUGGAAUUCUUGUUUCAGUUGAAAUUUUAUGCUGGAGACUUUUUUUUUUUUUUU